rnacentral:lncRNA from 1 species
AACUGCAGUUCUUCGACCACUGCGCAAGAGAGCUGAAGGUCUUUUCCACGCCAUGAGAAGAUUCUCGGACAGGCGUCUAGAAAUACGUCUUUCCCGCAUCUGCCUUCCUGCGUCUUUUUGGUGGCGGUUACACGGCCCAUCCUGAAUGCUCUAACGGCGGGACUUUCGUGCACCUAGAUGCAGUACAGCAGUGCUAUUAGGCAGGACAGGUGUCGGCGAGCUUCCAGUUGUGUCUGUAGAUGUUCUUUCCUCUCCUGUUCUCCUCGGAUUUCCAACAGUGCGGGGUUCUUCCAGAUGCACGUCUCUCGGCGAUGCGGGGACAGAGGGAACAGCUUUACAGGAAAGUUGAGGGCGGUUGACAAUAGGAAUGAACCGUAGAGAUGAGGAGCAAAUACUCCGAUAGCCUGUUAAAGAACUGAUCCGCAGGGCGCCACCACAUCAGAUCAGCCACGUCAGAACGUCUGCACAGAACGGCAGGAAGACCGCUCGACAGGGGUUCGUGCUAGGAGGGCCGGGACGGGCGAGAUUGACAGGUUCGGUGCUUUACUUUCUUCCGAUUUCUGUCUUUUGUUCGUAGACACGUCUGUGUCUAGCUUCGCAAAGCGGCAGGAAGCGCAGGGGUCACCUGAUAAAACGCGGGAACCGCGCGAAAGCAGGUCCAUUGUGCCGGGAGCAGUAUUCCCACCACACACAUCCUCACGCGGUUAGAUGGAUAUGUGGGAAUGUGGAGCAGUCGGCGGAAAAACGGAACAAGACUGAGCCGCAAGGACUGGCAGAAGUUCUUGUUCGUUGUUGGUAGGAGCGAGGCGAGAAAGGUCGUAUCCUGAGACCAGUGAUCGAGGAAGCGGAACACUGUGUACGACCGUGGUCUACUUCCUCGGAUUUCCUCCUUGCCUUCUUUUCCCUGCCAGUGUCCAUCCUCUACGGUGGAAGGAGACCCAGCACUCCCUGCGGCAGCGUCUCCCAGUGAACUAGGGCACGGACUGCCAGUCGUGGCGUACUUUCUCCCACUACCCUAGGACUUUCGCAGUUUCUGUGAAGUUGACAAGCGGGCCAACGGUAUUUUCGGCGAAAGCGCAAGUCUAUGGUCGGUCAAACGAGAUCUUUUAACCCUUUUCUCUGACGCGAAAACCCGGGGAAAACUCUUGGGAAAAUGUCAGAUCGACCGAGGAGAGGAAGCCCGCUUCCCCGGCGCCGCAAGUCUCACAGAGUCACCUGAAGCGCCUCGAGCCUUGCACUCCCUAGACCACUGUCUCGUCAGCACUUCCCCGUCAGGUGGACCGUACUGAUCCGUCCCCAAAGCGAGCACGUCUUGUUUGCGUAACCGUGGUGUCCUUUUCGUUGUGCUGUGUCGAGACCCGACAGGGGCUGUUUUCGUACACGCUGUCUUUGGUUAGCUAGCAAAAACGGUUCUGGAUUCCUGUCCCGUAGAGAGAGACAGUGGCGGCGUGCAGUGACGAGACUGACGCAGAAGGCAGCUUCACUGCGGAGAGACCGGAGCGUAUGCGCGGAGUUCAACCUCUCGAGCCCGGUGCGCGUUUUUGGGAACUCUUUGGUCCUGAGUCGUUUCGCAAAGCCGAAACAGAGGGUGUCAGUGCUGCUCACUGGCUAUCGAUAUGCUUGCGCCCGGUGACGGAACGGAGAGCGGAUUCCGCUUGACUGCUGACGCUUCAAAUGAUGAGCGCUGCUCCCCAAACGAUCCUGCACACCUCAGACGAGUUCCUUGUGCC